rnacentral:SRP_RNA from 14 species
GCCAGCACUGCGAAGGUGGCGUUGACGGCGCGGUUGGGCCGGUGUGGUGAUGUUGAACCCGGACAGUGUCGGCGGGAAGCAACAAGAGGCGGCGCGCUGCGAGCGUCU